CAUUCCCUACCACAGAGAUCAUUGUCAAGCAGGUGCUGUGUGGUUCAUUCUCUGAGGGCUAAAGAAAACUUUUUUUUUUUUUUUUGGUAUUCAUACGGUAUCCAGGUUACAUCUUGAUAAUUACUUUAAAACUAGGAGUAAAAAAAUGGCAGAUGGAAUGUUGUUGCUUUUCCUUUUUCCUCCUCUUCUCCCUUUAUGUCUUCACAUUGUCAGGAUGGCUCCAUCCAUUUAGAUGGCAAGGCGGUUCUGAAUGAAGGCAGCCCUGCACCUUCCGCAGCCAUCCCUCCAGUUCAAUUAUGGUGCUUUAGCGGGGCUAAUUAGCAUUCCUCAGAGCUGGAGCUCUUUGAGUGACAGGUAACCAUGGAGAGUCACACUCUGGGUGAUCAGCAAGAAUCUAGCUUUUCUUUUUAAUUAAAAAUUAGAAAAGCCUUAAAGAAAAAGGAGAGCAUUUACUGAUGUGAGCUGCUAGCCCACGGCUUCUGCUGUCUAACGGGUAGCAAUGGUGUCAGAGGCAAGUGGGGACCGUUUCAAAAGGGAUCCAGGGGAAUACCACAAUGGUCUGAAACAGGAAAAAUGUUUAUCAUUCUGCUCUGAAAAUGGACAUCUGAAAGAAAGCAUGAAAAGACAAAGGAUCUGGGGUUCUUCUAAUGUCGCCAUGUUUUCAGAGUUUGAAAAAUAGCACUGUAUUCAACAACACCUUUCUCUGCCUCUGAUAAAAAUAUUAGAAUUUGCACUUGGGGAUAGUAUAUUCAGUUAUUAAAUGAUACAUGUUUAGUAAAUGAUGCUUGGUGGGGGAUAAAAAAUGUGACUGCAAAGUGCAAAUAUUAACAAUCAUUUCAGUCCUGAGAAAUAUGUAAAAGCCCCAUAGUCUGUAAGCAUGUGACCUGCUCCUAGGACCGAGGGCAACGGGCAGUGUGUGCCUUUCCAACGGAGUGAAUACAUAAGCAGGUCAGAGAGGUGAAUGAAAAAUUGUCAUCUUAGCUCACUGGCCCACAUUCCAGAAAAAGGCGAGAAAUUUUGGAAUGCUUUAAAAAAGCAUCUGAUAAUUUUCCUACUCAAAACCACGCAAGUAAACAAUCCGGAUAAUCAAAAUCGGCUUUCGUUUUUCCCAAAUUGAAAAGAAAAGGCUUUAUUUCCUUGCUGCUUAUAUUCAGCUUUAAAAAAAAAAAAAAAUUGAACUUGAACAUGCCUCUCCCUUUCCUGUUUUUACCCAAAUGUAAAAUUGUAAAAACAGUCAGUAGUGUUAUUUCUGGCCAGCAUCAAGCCUGGAAGCUCUCACAGUCUUGAGGGAGUGUCUGAUCCGAAGAGCUUCCCAGCCACACUUCUGCUACAGAGGUGGGAAAACGAAAACUACACCAGGGUGUAUUCUUCCCUCCACACUUCAGGAUGGUCUCCACUUUGGGAAGAUUCAUUUAGCGAAUGAUAAAAGUCAGUUAUGCUAAUUUAAUUUACUGUCACGUGCUUCUCAUUUUGCAUUCCCAAAACUAGUUGUUUGUUCGUUUGUUUGUUUUAAGGUACAAGUUGAAUAAAGAAACAGAUGUUAAUUCUAAAAGUCUUUCUCCUACAAUAUGUAGCAAUGGACACGGUCCAUCACACUGCUAAUUUAAUGCUCUUUAUAAUCAUGUUCUUUCUUAAUAAUUCCUCAGCUUUCAAGAUUUACACAAAAUUGAAUCUUACUCCAUAAAAGUAGAUUCUUCUCUCAAAAUCCAUAAAUCUAGUCGCAAUAAAUUUAACUUAUGAUUUGCUGGUGGGAAAUGAUUUACAAUGGGAAAAUAAAAAGAAUAGUAUGUUCCAAGAAUCUCAAAAUUGAUUUAUUUUUUCAGAAACUUUUCUAUAUCUUCUAGAAUUCUAUUGGAGGACUAAGAACCAUUCUGACAUAGAAGUAUAGAGUUCAAAUGUAAAUGACUUCUUUUUGCAAGUGAAUGAGAUGAAAUCAUUAUACUUGCUUCACUGAACAGAAAACACUACACAUUUUAAAACAAAC
rnacentral:lncRNA from 1 species